GACGAACGCUGGCGGCGUGCCUAAUACAUGCAAGUCGAGCGGAGCGGAGGACGGGUGAGUAAUGUAUGGGGACCUGCCCGAUAGAGGGGGAUAACUACUGGAAACGGUGGCUAAAACCGCAAACUAUCGGAUGAACCGAUAUGGGAGUAGCUAGUGGGUGGGGUAAAGGCACACCGAGGCGACGAGCUUUAGCUGGUCUGAGAGGAUGAGCAGCCACACUGGGACUGAGACACGGCCCAGACUCCUACGGGAGGCAGCAGGGGGGAAUAUUCGACAAUGGGCGAAAGCCUGAUCCAGCCAUGCCGCGUGUGUGAAGAAGGUCUUCGGAUUGUAAAGCACUUUAAGUAGGGAGGCGUUACCUACAGAAUAAGCACCGGCUAACUACGUGCCAGCAGCCGCGGUAAUAC
rnacentral:rRNA from 1 species